GAAAUGCGAUAAGUAAUGUGAAUUGCAGAAUUCAGUGAAUCAUCGAAUCUUUGAACGCACAUUGCGCCCGCCAGUAUUCUGGCGGGCAUGCCUGUUCGAGCGUCAUUUCAACCAUCAAGCCCCGGGCUUGUGUUGGGGACCUGCGGCUGCCGCAGGCCCUGAAAACCAGUGGCGGGCUCGCUGUCACACCGAGCGUAGUAGAUUCUCAUCUCGCUCAGGGCGUGCUGCGGGUUCCGUCCGUAAAACAGCCUUAUUUUACCCAAGGUUGACCUCGGAUCAGGUAGGAAGACCCGCUGAACUUAAGC
rnacentral:misc_RNA from 1 species